AACGCUAGCUACAGGCUUAACACAUGCAAGUCGAGGGGAAACGACAUCGAAAGCUUGCUUUUGAUGGGUGUCGACCGGCGCACGGGUGAGUAACGCGUAUCCAACCUGCCCACCACUUGGGGAUAACCUUGCGAAAGUAAGACUAAUACCCAAUGAUAUCUCUAGAAGACAUCUGAAAGAGAUUAAAGAUUUAUCGGUGAUGGAUGGGGAUGCGUCUGAUUAGCUUGUUGGCGGGGUAACGGCCCACCAAGGCGACGAUCAGUAGGGGUUCUGAGAGGAAGGUCCCCCACAUUGGAACUGAGACACGGUCCAAACUCCUACGGGAGGCAGCAGUGAGGAAUAUUGGUCAAUGGGCGAGAGCCUGAACCAGCCAAGUAGCGUGCAGGAUGACGGCCCUAUGGGUUGUAAACUGCUUUUAUAAGGGAAUAAAGUGAGAGUCGUGACUCUUUUUGCAUGUACCUUAUGAAUAAGGACCGGCUAAUUCCGUGCCAGCAGCCGCGGUAAUACGGAAGGUCCGGGCGUUAUCCGGAUUUAUUGGGUUUAAAGGGAGCGUAGGCCGGAGAUUAAGCGUGUUGUGAAAUGUAGGCGCUCAACGUCUGCACUGCAGCGCGAACUGGUUUCCUUGAGUACGCACAAAGUGGGCGGAAUUCGUGGUGUAGCGGUGAAAUGCUUAGAUAUCACGAAGAACUCCGAUUG
rnacentral:rRNA from 1 species